GAUCAAAAUCAGACCUUGUGUCAUGUCACAACUGACAUAACAAAUUGUUUCCUACGACAGUACAUAGUCAUACCCCUAUUCUCGUGUGUUUUAUUAAAUAUUCUAAUACUCAUUUUAUGUUUUACAGACUACUCUAUGCUCCCAAAUAAAUAGUGACAAAAUGAAUAUUAUCUACAUUACACGUAUAAUACAAUAGCUGGCAAAUAAAAUUAAGUGAAAACUUGUGAAGCAAGCAUUACUUAAUGUUUGUUUAACCUCAGAACUCAUCUUCGAAGCAAUUUGGAUUUAUUUUUGUAUAAAAUAACCUCCUACAACUAUCGAUUUAGGCGGAGAACGGGGCUUCAGAAAAACAGUUUUUUUAUAAGAGUUACUGUGCAAUGGUUGAGUGGCUGGAGUUUUGACAUCUUGGCUUUUGGGUACAAAAGAAGAUGGGGGUGUAAACUUUAAUGUGUCAGCAUAUGAUUUUGUCACCGGGGGAUGUAUCUUUGAUGCUUCUGAACAUGUCCACCGGUACACCACUUACGAGCCCCAUCCUGAUAAUGUUAAAAGAUGGAAUAAAAGCUUCAUAGCCUUUUUCCAAUAAGGCAUGAUGUUUUAAGAAAGAAUUUGCAGCUGAGUGACUUGUGAAUGCCAUUGAAAUUUUGUUGCGACCAAUACGCUUCAAACUGCCUUGUACUAUGUUUGGCACCUGGUUUUUAUGCAAAAAUCUGCCAAAGCAUAUUGGAUGCAAAUUAAGAUCCUGUGUUACCUCUCCUGUACUAGACCUAGCAACAUGAAUAAUAAAUGGUGAAGCAUCCAAUGCAGUAUAUUCUUUUCUAAUACUAUCAGAAAUAUUGGGAGGUAACUGGGAGGCCUGAGAUGGAAGAGCUUGUGUAUGCGGUGCUAUAAGAGGUGAUGGAUUUUCAGUGAUUUUUUCGUCACUGUCUUCACAACGACAUCCACUUCUACCUGAAUCUACAGCCAUUGCAUUUUUGCGUUUUUUUUUAUUACAUGUUUUGCACACCUUAUUUAAUCGUA